UCGUAAAACACAGGAAUGAUGG
rnacentral:miRNA from 1 species